GACGAACGCUGGCGGCGUGCUUAACACAUGCAAGUCGAACGGAAAGGCCCUGCUUUUGUGGGGUUCUCGAGUGGCGAACGGGUGAGUAACACGUGAGUAACCUGCCCUUGACUUUGGGAUAACUUCAGGAAACUGGGCCUAAUACCGUAUAGGAGCUCCUGCUGCAUGGUGGGCGUUGGAAAGUUUCGGCGGUUGGGGAUGGACUCGCGGCUUAUCAGCUUGUUGGUUGGGUAGUGGCUUACCAAGGGUUUGACGGGUAGCCGGCCUGAGAGGGUGAACGGCCACAAUGGGACUGAGAGACGGACCAGACGCCAACGGGGGGCAGUAGUGGGGAAUAUGGUACAAUGGGCGCAAGCGUGAUGCAGAAACGCUGCGUGCGGGAUGACGGCCUGUGGGUUAUAAAAAGCUUUCGGCUGUGACGAAGCGUGAGUGACGGUAAUGGGUAAAGAAGCACCGGCUAACUACGUG
rnacentral:rRNA from 1 species